rnacentral:lncRNA from 1 species
UUAAACGGUAAAUGUCUCAUUUUCAAAAACUGGAUAAACAGUAAAAUUCUUUUUUUAAAUGACAUUAUUGAUAAUAAAGGAAAAUUUAAUCAAAACAUGAUCUUAGAUAAACUUUCCUGUCAUGCUAGCUGGUUUUCAGAAUAUUCUAAAUUAAUGAAAGCAAUACCAAAACAGUGGUUACAAGAGCUAACUAAAGAAGAAUCAAUAAAAACAAAAGUUGCCAUUGACUCCGAAUAUAAAUUUAAAGAUAAAAAAGGAAAAAUGGUAUCACUUAAAAACAUUUCCUCCAAAGACAUUUACAUCUCCCUCUUAAACAUGUUAAAUAGAUAUUAUGAAAAACCAAUAGGAUUUCAAAAAUGGGACAACAUAUUUAUCUUGGAAAACAACACAAACAAAAGACAACAAAUGCUAAAUUAUAUCUUUUAUUAUAUAC